rfam:Oryza sativa (indica cultivar-group) chromosome 5, whole genome shotgun sequence.
AAUGUUUGAUGCCGUUGACUUUUUAGCACAUAUUUGACCGUUCGUUUUAUUCAAAAAAUUUAAGUAAUUAUUAAUUCUUUUUCUAUCAUUUGAUUCAUUGUUAAAUAUAUUUUUAUGUAGUGCAUAUAAUUUUACAUAUUUUACAAAAGUUUUUUGAAUAAAACGAACGGUCAAAUAUGUGCUAAAAAGUCAACGGUGUCAAACAUU